AGUGAACGCUGGCGGUAGGCCUAACACAUGCAAGUCGAACGGCAGCACAGUAAGAGCUUGCUCUUACGGGUGGCGAGUGGCGGACGGGUGAGGAAUACAUCGGAAUCUACUUUUUCGUGGGGGAUAACGUAGGGAAACUUACGCUAAUACCGCAUACGACCUACGGGUGAAAGCAGGGGAUCUUCGGACCUUGCGCGAUUGAAUGAGCCGAUGUCGGAUUAGCUAGUUGGCGGGGUAAAGGCCCACCAAGGCGACGAUCCGUAGCUGGUCUGAGAGGAUGAUCAGCCACACUGGAACUGAGACACGGUCCAGACUCCUACGGGAGGCAGCAGUGGGGAAUAUUGGACAAUGGGCGCAAGCCCGAUCCAGCCAUACCGCGUGGGUGAAGAAGGCCUUCGGGUUGUAAAGCCCUUUUGUUGGGAAAGAAAAGCAGCAGGUUAAUACCCCGCUGUUCUGACGGUACCCAAAGAAUAAGCACCCGCUAACUUCGUG
rnacentral:rRNA from 1 species